rnacentral:rRNA from 1 species
CGGGCGCAGCUACUCUGCAGUCGAGCGAUGGUCAGGAGCUUGCUCUUAUGGGUUAGCGGCGGAGGGGUGAUUAACACGUGGGUAACCUGCCCAUAGGACUGGGAUAACUCCGGGAAACCGGGGCUAAUACCGGAUAACAUUUUGAACCGCAUGGUUCGAAAUUGAAAGGCGGCUUCGGCUGUCACUUAUGGAUGGACCCGCGUCGCACUAGCUAGUUGGUGAGGUAACGGCUCACCAAGGCGACGAUGCGUAGCCGACCUGACAGGGUGAUCGGGCACACUGGGACUGACACGCGGCCCGGACUCCUACCGGAGGCAGCAGUGCGGAAUCUUCCACAAUGGACUAAAGUCUGACGGAUCAUCUCCCCGUGAAUGAUGAAGGCUUUCCGGUCAUAAAACUCUGUUGUUAGGGAAGAACAAGUGCUAGUUGAAUAACCUGGGACCUUGACGGUACCUAACCUUAAAGCCACGGCUAACUACGUGCCAGCAUCCGCGGUAAUACGUAGGUGGCAAGCGUUAUCCGGAAUUAUUGGGCGUAAAGCGCGCGCAUGUGGUUUCUUAAGUCUGAUGUGAAAGCUCACGGCUCAACCGUGGAGGGUCAUUGGAUACUGGGAGACUUGAGUGCAGAAGACGACAGUGUAAUUCCAUGUGUAGCGGUGAAAUGCGUAGAGAUAUGGAGGAACACCAGUGGCGAACGCGACUUUCUGGUCUGUAACUGACACUGACGCGCGAAAGCGUGUGCGAGCAAACAGGAUUACGAUACCCUGGUAGUCCACGCCGUACACUGAUGAGUGCUAAGUGUUAGAGGGUUUCUCGCCCUUUAUUGACUGGAGGUUCACGCAUUACGCACUCCGCCGUGGGGAGUACUCGCCAGCAACGCUGCAAACUCAUAGGACUUGAUUGGCGUCCCGCACAACGCGAUGGGAGCACUGUGGCUUUACCUUCUCAAGCACUACGACAAUCGUGACUACGUCUUGAUCAUCUCUGACUAGCCCUGAAGAUAUGGGCUUCAUCCUUCGCGAGCAGAGUGACAGUCGCUGCUAGUUGCUCGUCAUUCUCUGUCAUGAGAUGUGGGGACUGACGUCCGCUACCAGCGCGACCGUUGAUCUGACUGCAGUCAUUCAGUGCGCUACUCUGAGGUACUGCCGUGACUAAACUGAGCAAGCUGGGGAUACUCUAAACUGUCGUAGACUGGCUACCACUGCUACAUUGAACGGUUGACAAAAUAC